UUAGGUUUUUUACUUAUGGAUGUUAGUUAAGUUAGGAAAGAUAAUUUGAAAGGAUUGGAUGGUUUAUUAAAAAUUUAUGAAUGAUUGAAUUUUAUGUACUGUAAGGGGGUGUUUAUCUAUAGUAAAGUAAAAAAUUUUUGUACCUUUUGUAUCAGGGUUUGCUAAAUUUAUUAAUUUAUUUUAAUUUCCCGAGGAUAAGUGAGCUACUGAAUUAAUGUCUUAUUAUGGCAUAAAUAGGAUUAAAAUAAUAUUGUAGGGGUGAGAUACCAACGGACUUUUUGAUAGCUGGUUCUAACAGAAAUUUAGUAUGGUAGUAUAAGUAAGGAGGACUUUAGUUAUAGAAAGAGUGUUAGGGUUAAGCUUAACGUUUUAUUAUUAUAUAUUUUAGUGGUUUUGGUGUAGUUGAGGUCUAAUAGUGGCUUUUUGUCUAAUAACUUACAUACUCUAGGUUAUAUUAAUAAAGUAUGUUAGGGUGUAGGUAAAUUUAGCUCUAUAGUAAUAAUGGUAAAAUUAGUAGAAUAGUAUUAUUUUGAUUAAUUAGUUUAGGUGCUAAGGUUAGGGUGUAUACUAGUUAGGUACUAUAAAGGAACUCGGCAAACAUAUCUUUUAACUGUUUAUCAAAAACAUUUCUUUAAGAAAGGAGUUAAAGUAGGUUCUGCCCCCUGAUGAUAUUAAAGGGCCGCAG
rnacentral:rRNA from 1 species